rnacentral:rRNA from 1 species
GUGUCAGCAGCCGCGGUAAUACGUAGGUGGCGAGCGUUGUCCGGAUUUAUUGGGCGUAAAGAGCCCGCAGGCGGCUUGGCAAGUUUCAGGUGAAAUCUCCCGGCUUAACCGGGAGGGUGCCCGGAAAACUGCCAGGCUUGAGGCAUGGAGAGGGAUGCGGAAUUCCCGGUGUAGUGGUGAAAUGCGUAGAUAUCGGGAGGAACACCAGUGGCGAAGGCGGCAUCCUGGCCAUGUCCUGACGCUCAGGGGCGAAAGCGUGGGGAGCAAACCGGAUUAGAUACCCGGGUAGUCCACGCCGUAAACGAUGAGUACUAGGUGUGGGGGGUAUCGACCCCCUCCGUGCCGAAGCCAACGCGAUAAGUACUCCGCCUGGGGACUACGGCCGCAAGGCUAAA